ACGGGAGGCAGCAGUGGGGAAUAUUGGGCAAUGGGCGAAAGCCUGACCCAGCAACGCCGCGUGAAGGAAGAAGGUCUUCGGAUUGUAAACUUCUUUUAUGAGGGACGAAGGACGUGACGGUACCUCAUGAAUAAGCCACGGCUAACUACGUGCCAGCAGCCGCGGUAAUACGUAGGUGGCAAGCGUUAUCCGGAUUUAUUGGGUUUAAAGGGUGCGUAGGCGGCUUGUCAAGUCAGUGGUGAAAGCCCCCUGCUCAACAGGGGAACUGCCAUUGAUACUGUCAGGCUUGAAUUCGGAUGCCGUGGGAGGAAUGAGUAGUGUAGCGGUGAAAUGCAUAGAUAUUACUCAGAACACCGAUUGCGAAGGCAUCUCACGAAUCCGACAUUGACGCUGAGGCACGAAAGCGUGGGGAUCAAACAGGAUUAGAUACCCUGGUA
rnacentral:rRNA from 1 species